rnacentral:pre_miRNA from 1 species
AUUCUACUCCCUCCGUUGCACAAUACAUGCCUUCUAUUUGUCAAAAUAUAUAUGUAUCUAGACAUGUUUUAGUAUAUAGGUACAUCCAUUUUUGGACAAAUGGAAGUCAAGUAUUUUGGAGCGGAGGGACUACACA